GGAUGUUAGCGGCGGACGGGUGAGUAACACGUGGGUAACCUGCCUGUAAGACUGGGAUAACUCCGGGAAACCGGAGCUAAUACCGGAUAGUUCCUUGAACCGCAUGGUUCAAGGAUGAAAGACGGUUUCGGCUGUCACUUACAGAUGGACCCGCGGCGCAUUAGCUAGUUGGUGAGGUAACGGCUCACCAAGGCGACGAUGCGUAGCCGACCUGAGAGGGUGAUCGGCCACACUGGGACUGAGACACGGCCCAGACUCCUACGGGAGGCAGCAGUAGGGAAUCUUCCGCAAUGGACGAAAGUCUGACGGAGCAACGCCGCGUGAGUGAUGAAGGUUUUCGGAUCGUAAAGCUCUGUUGUUAGGGAAGAACAAGUGCAAGAGUAACUGCUUGCACCUUGACGGUACCUAACCAGAAAGCCACGGCUAACUACGUGCCAGCAGCCGCGGUAAUACGUAGGUGGCAAGCGUUGUCCGGAAUUAUUGGGCGUAAAGGGCUCGCAGGCGGUUUCUUAAGUCUGAUGUGAAAGCCCCCGGCUCAACCGGGGAGGGUCAUUGGAAACUGGGAAACUUGAGUGCAGAAGAGGAGAGUGGAAUUCCACGUGUAGCGGUGAAAUGCGUAGAGAUGUGGAGGAACACCAGUGGCGAAGGCGACUCUCUGGUCUGUAACUGACGCUGA
rnacentral:rRNA from 1 species